rnacentral:sRNA from 1 species
ACUUCCUGCGCGGGGGCCCGAGCCGCUCCGUCUCCCUGCUCUCCGUGGUCCCGGCUCGCGUGUAGCGGCGGCGGCGGCGUCUCCGUGAGGAGGCGCGCGGGGCCAUGACGUCAGCGUCCACAAAGGUCGGAGAGAUCUUCUCGGCGGCCGGCGCCGCCUUCACGAAGCUCGGGGAGCUGACGAUGCAGCUGCAUCCCGUGGCCGACUCUUCCCCUGCGGGGUACGUGAGCCCGGACUGGGACGUGGACGCUGAGAGCGGGCGCUUGGACUCGGUCACAGACACGGACCCUCUCUAGCACAGGGACAGACAUUAGUUUCCCUUUGUGCCUGGCACAGCACAGAGUAGGUGUUAAUAAAUGAUCGUUGGAUGAGGGAAUGAAUGACAGAUAAAAACACAGACAGGCCCAUAGCCCAGACUCCUGUUUCACAGUUCUCCCUGCUGCGAACGGGCCGACCACAAACCACCGCCACUCCCAACCACCCCAGUUCAUGGAAUUCCCCCAGACGGCUGCAGGCUGUGUUGGUGGAUCUGUUUGAAAAGCCCUUCUUGGCGAGUUGGUUUCAGUGUGCUGUGUACAGCAGCGGUUUAACGUUGAUGGUGGAAAGGGGUGUCUAAGGUGGAGGUGGUUGUGAUUUCUUGUGAUUGGGGUCCUCCCGGUUCCCGCAGGGCCUCAAGAGCUUUCCCCCUCCCCUUAUGGAGGACCUCUUUAUGCAUCCGUGGAAGGGGUCCCAGAAAUCGGAAGGAGGCGGCUGGUUGGCUGUGGGAUGCAUAGCCUGUGGGCUGGCUCCACACCCCCCCUCCCAUUUUUGCUAUCCCCCCUCUCCCCUUCUGACAGUGCGAAGUGGACGGAGACGGAAAUAGAGAUGCUGAGGGCUGCUGUGAAGCGAUUUGGGGACGAUCUUAAUCACAUCAGCUGUGUCAUCAAGGAACGGACAGUGUGAGGGAGGGUGGCUGCCAGAAAAGGGCGGGUGGGCAGCCUUCUUCCUCCUUACCCAAGGUUCCAUCGUCCUCAGAACUCCUUUCCAGCUCAGCUGCUUCCCUACUUUGUCACUAGUUUUUUAGAAUCCCCUUGAGGACUGAAAGAAUAGAAUUGUCACAGUUGGUCAGAAGUUCCUAAAAUGCUGUGGUAAUCCUUCCAAGAAUGAAUUUAGGUUGCCUGAGAUGCUGUUAUUGUAUUUGAUGAUGGAAGUCCCCUGGUUAUUUAUAUAAAUGUUUGAGGACCCCACUGCAGUGUUUCCAGGGAUAUGGUGAUCCUGAACUAGUUGAUCAGUAAAUCUCAAUCCAUCUGUAAAUCACCAAACUUUACCUGAUGUCUCUCCCGGAAGAGAAUUAGGAGAUGGGCCUUUCCCACUGCUCAGUUCAGGGACUCCACUCUCCACACUCCAUCCACCCUGAGUGAGCAUAAAACUUCGGGAAAGUGAGAACCCUACCAAUGGGUUGGGGCCCCAACCUGGAUUCUUAUGAAGGGACUCCCAGAACCCCUUCCCCUCCCGUCCCCUCUUCUGUAAGUCUCUUUGAUGACUCCUUUCCUAACCUCUUCUCUCUUUUCUUCAGGGCUCAGAUAAAGGCCACUGUGAAACGCAAGGUAUAUGAAGAUUCUGGCAUCCCCCUUCCAGCUGAGUCACCCAAGAAAGGGCCCAAGAAGGUGGCAUCUGGUGUCUUGUCACCUCCUCCAGCUGCCCCUCCUCCCAGCAGCUCCAGUGUCCCUGAGGCCGGGGGUCCCCCCAUAAAGAAACAGAAGGCUGGUGAGGGCUGUGGAGUUGCUUCCUAGGGGUUAAAGGUCCCAUCUGAGGUUUAGUGAGAGAAUUGGGUCUGGGUCAAAGAAGGGUCAAUCUCUCUUCCUGUCCCUGUGGAGGUUCCCAGAGAGGGGCAGAGGGGAGGGGAGAGGAGGCACGAAGCUUUGGGAAGCUUGGGGCUGGGGGAGAGGCUGUCAGGGGAACCUAGAACCUAGCUUAUGCCCCCUUCCCAGAUGUGACACUCAGUGCUCUGAACGACUCCGACGCCAACAGUGACCUGGUGGAUAUUGAAGGGCUAGGAGAAACUCCUCCAGCUAAGAAACUCAACUUCGACCAGGCCUGACCCUGGAUUCUGGCCUUCUCAUGACCUCUGCUGAUCCUCCUCUCCUCUCCUGCUGAGCCUUCCACCUCUGACCUCUCACUGUUCAUGCCGGACCUGUGGAUCUCCUGGGACUCCGAGCAAGGCCUGCACGAGAGAGGGCUGAAAGGCUGCUGGGGCUGCCACCUCGCUAUUCCCGCAUAAGCACCUGCCCCCAACCCCUUUGACCUUCAUCUGAUGGACAUUUUUAUACAGAAAACAAUAAAGAUUUCCCUCUCAGCUUC